rnacentral:rRNA from 1 species
ACGAAGGGGGCUAGCGUUGUUCGGAAUUACUGGGCGUAAAGCGCGCGUAGGCGGUUUAGUAAGUUGGAUGUGAAAUCCCUAGGCUCAACCUAGGAAUUGCAUUCAAGACUGCUGAGCUAGAUGCCUGGAGAGGAGAGUGGAAUUCCCAGUGUAGAGGUGAAAUUCGUAGAUAUUAGGAGGAACACCAGUGGCGAAGGCGACUGUCUGGACCGGUUCUGACGCUCAUGCACGAAAGCGUGGGGAGCAAACAGGA